CAUUACAGUCGUUGCAGUCCAUGGUUUCCUGCGCAUAUGGGAGAAAUGGACGAGACUCGGGUUACGCUCAAUGAGGUUACUCAUGACUUGGCACGAGGACUACUUGCUAG
rnacentral:lncRNA from 1 species